rnacentral:misc_RNA from 1 species
UAAUUGCUCUAUCCCUCGUUUGAUAGUCUGAAUCUUUCAAAUUAUCAAAUGCAAAUUUCAUAGCCAUUGGAACAUUAAGACGAAGCAUUUCCGAAAUAUCCACAAUUUCAGGAUCAUCGGGCAAUUGCUCUUCAAUGCAAAUGUUUACACUAAGUUCCAACUCUUUCUCUUUCUUCUUCAACGACCUUUUCCGAGACUUCCUAUACUCUCUCUGACUAGCAAACACUUUGCCACUCCAUCCUGCAACACUCCAUCUCCUGUCCUCUUUGCAAUUCAAUCCAUAAUGAAACUUCCGACCAAUAAUUGACAAAGAUUUGCCGAAGGAAAUAUGAGCCACCGUAGGUGACGGAGGGAGAAUGAAAUGCGAGUUCGUGGAGACACUCAUGGCAGACGCGG